GUAACUGUAGUAGUAGCCCAAGUCCAUGAAGUUUCAGGCAUUAGCAAUCAAACCAGCACACGACACAGUCCUGUGACGAGACUUCAAAAGUUUCAGGCCCACAGUCGGCAGCGGCAGAGGGGCAGAGCAUCAUCACAGCGAGUGAUGAAGAACACUGCAGCAACAUGGGAUGACUGGUUGAGGCUUGAUGUAGGACUGAAGCAGAAGCUGCAGGACAACCGUUCCUUAGAUGAAUAUCAUCCUGACAGUCUGCACAGCUGGCAGAAACAGGGUGAUGGUGCCUGUAUUGGUGUGUUGAUGGGAACAUCAGCUUGUUUGAUAGUUUAAGAAAGAAGCCUC